CAACCUGCCCUUCAGAGGGGGACAACAGUUGGAAACGACUGCUAAUACCGCAUACGAUCCAACCUCGGCAUCGAGGAUGGAUGAAAGGUGGCCUCUAUUUAUAAGCUAUCACUGAAGGAGGGGAUUGCGUCUGAUUAGCUAGUUGGAGGGGUAACGGCCCACCAAGGCAAUGAUUAGUAGCCGGUCUGAGAGGAUGAACGGCCACAUUGGGACUGAGACACGGUCCAGACUCCUACGGGAGGCAGCAUG
rnacentral:rRNA from 1 species